AGAGUUUGAUCCUGGCUCAGAACGAACGCUGGCGGCGUGGAUUAGGCAUGCAAGUCGAGCGCGAAAAGGUGAACCCGUAAGGGGGAUCCUGAGUAGAGCGGCGAACGGGUGAGUACAAGGUAGGUAAUGUGCCCUGAAGUGGGGGAUAACUCCGGGAAACCGGGGCUAAUACCGCAUGUGUUUCAUGGGUCCUCGGGCCCGUGGAACAAAGGUGCAGGCUUCGCGUCUGUGUCGCUUCAGGAUCGGCCUACCCCCCAUUAGCUUGUUGGUGAGGUCACGGCUCACCAAGGCAACGAUGGGUAGCUGGUCUGAGAGGAUGGUCAGCCACACUGGGACUGAGAUACGGCCCAGACUCCUACGGGAGGCAGCAGUCUAGAGGCUUCGGCAAUGCCCGAAAGGGUGACCGAGCGACGCCGCGUGUGGGACGAAGGCCUUCGGGUUGUAAACCACUGUCAGUAGGGAAGAAUGCCCGGAUGGUGAAUCCGGGAGUGACGGUACCUGCGGAGGAAGCCCCGGCUAACUCCGUGCCAGCAGCCGCGGUAAUACGGAGGGGGCGAGCGUUGUUCGGAAUUACUGGGCGUAAAGGGCGCGUAGGCGGAAUGGUCCGUCCGAUGUGAAAGUGCUACCGCUCAACGGAGCAAAGCCAUCGGAAACCGCCAUUCUUGAGACCGGAAGAGGUGAGUGGAAUUGCCAGUGUAGCGGUGGAAUGUGUAGAUAUUGGCAAGAACACCGGUGGCGAAGGCGGCUCACUGGUCCGGUUCUGACGCUGAGUGCGCGAAAGCGUGGGGAGCGAACAGGAUUAGAUACCCUGGUAGUCCACGCCCUAAACGGUGGGUACUAGGUGUGGGAGGUAUCGACCCCUCCCGUGCCGCAGCUAACGCAUUAAGUACCCCGCCUGGGGAGUACGGCCGCAAGGUUGAAACUCAAAUGAAUUGACGG
rnacentral:rRNA from 1 species